ACGGUGGAUCACUUGGCUCGUGGGUCGAUGAAGAACGCAGCUAAUUGCGCGUCAACUUGUGAACUGCAGGACACUUGAACAUCGACAUUUCGAACGCACAUCGUUAAUACAAUAAAGACUGCUGGCGCGUCCCGAGAAAGCUAA
rnacentral:rRNA from 1 species